rnacentral:lncRNA from 1 species
GGAGGAAUGUGGUAUGGAUGACGAAAGAAGAAAUGGCAGUGAACAGUGGCGACACGAAGCGACCAGCAACAAGUGACGCAAAUGCACGCAAAUUCAACAACAUAAGAUUACUGAAUGGAAGUGCAAGGCCAAAUGGUUCAGGGACAAAGUUCUAACCUGAAUUUUUUUUGUAGCUUCUUUGGUGGACGAUAGGAUGAUGAACAACUCUCAAACUAAAGGGAUAAAACUCGAUAAAACUCACCGAGCAACCUGUAAUCUGAUACCACUUGAUAGAGCUGGAGUGCCCGAUCUUUCGGUGAGAGGGAUAACUUCGAUUUGUGGAGGAGGUGACUCUCGCAAUCUGACUACGAACGAACAGGUCAUGGCACCUUAGCAAUCGCUGAACCAACUCCAAAUGGUUAUUGACCUUGCUAAUGGCAAGAUCAACUUGAACACGAGGUUCUAUUCCUGCAACAACCGAAGAACAAGCAAGAACAAGAUGAAGGCAAAACUAAAUAUCAAUCGCUCACGAAUUGGGGUUAACAAUGGCUAUCCACAGGUGGCCGCUGAGCACAACUGCAGCACAGGACGUUUG